GUUACUUACACAAUGAAGCCAGCUAUUGUUUAAGAAGUGUCAUUACCCUGAGACCAUCAUGCUGUGAGAAGCUUAAGCUCCAUGGAAAGACCUUGAAGAAUGAUGCACCAUGUGGAGAGAAUAUGUCACUGAAAUACCAUCUUUGGAGAAAGCUUCUAUCUAUGAAAACUAUGAAACUCAGAAUCAGAGAAAGGAGAAGUUUCUACAACAAUGUGAUAACAACAGCGUCACAAACCUUUUCUAACAAUUAUACUGUGCUGGCACGUUCCAGUCAAGUCUCAAGCAAGCAAAGAAAUAACAACCAUAAAAAUGAUCGUAAGCCCAAUGCUACUUUAAGAAAUGAGAGGCUGUGCUGUGUUACAAGGCAAGAGCUGUGAUGUGUGGUCAUCUCUAAAUAGUAAUAGUAUUAUGUGGACUGUGCCUGUACACAUGCACACACAAGACCCUGUGACCAUCAUACUUCUAGAGAGCAUCUACGUGGAAUAAAAAAGCCAUCUCUAUUCCUGUGGGAGAGAUGAAAAGAAAUUACAGAAGGCAUCAUCUAUUUGAGGCUCACUGGAUCUGUGGUGCUUCAUAGUGAAAUGUCGCCAU